rnacentral:rRNA from 1 species
CCUACGGGUGGCAGCAGUGGGGAAUAUUGCACAAUGGGGGAAACCCUGAUGCAGCGACGCCGCGUGAGUGAAGAAGUAUUUCGGUAUGUAAAGCUCUGUCAGCAGGGAAGAAAAUGACGGUACCUGACCAAGAAGCCCCGGCUAACUACGUGCCAGCAGCCGCGGUAAUACGCAGGGGGCCAGCGUUAUCCGGAUUUACUGGGUGUAAAGGGAGGGUAGACGGGAGGGCAAGUCUGGAGGGAAAGGCGGGGGCUCAACCCCCGGACUGCUGUGGAAACUGCCAGGCUGGAGUGCAGGAGAGGUAAGUGGAAUUCCUAGUGUAGCGGUGAAAUGCGUAGAUAUUAGGAGGAACACCAGUUGCGAAGGCAGCUUACUGGACUGUAACUGACGUUGAGGCUCGAAAGCGUGGGGAGCGAACAGGAUUAGAUACCCCAGUAGUC